rnacentral:piRNA from 1 species
AGAUUGUCACAUCUCUCAUUUGUUAAC